CCUACGGGAGGCAGCAGUAGGGAAUAUUGCUCAAUGGGGGAAACCCUGAAGCAGCAACGCCGCGUGGAGGAUGAAGGUUUUCGGAUUGUAAACUCCUUUUGUUAGAGAAGAUAAUGACGGUAUCUAACGAAUAAGCACCGGCUAACUCCGUGCCAGCCGCCGCGGUAAUACGGAGGGUGCAAGCGUUACUCGGAAUCACUGGGCGUAAAGAGCGCGUAGGCGGGAUAGCAAGUCAGAUGUGAAAUCCUAGGGCUUAACCAUAGAACUGCAUUUGAAACUGUUAUUCUAGAGUAUGGGAGAGGUAGGUGGAAUUCUUGGUGUAGGGGUAAAAUCCGUAGAGAUCAAGAGGAAUACUCAUUGCGAAGGCGACCUGCUAGAACAUAACUGACGCUGAUGCGCGAAAGCGUGGGGAGCAAACAGGAUUAGAUACCCGUGUAGUC
rnacentral:rRNA from 1 species